rnacentral:rRNA from 1 species
UGGCCUUGACAUACUAAGAACUUUCCAGAGAUGGAUUGGUGCCUUCGGGAACCUAGAUACAGGUGCUGCAUGGCUGUCGUCAGCUCGUGUCGUGAGAUGUUGGGUUAACGUCCGCAACGAGCGCAACCCUUUUCCUUAUUUGCCAGCGGGUAAUGCCGGGAACUUUAAGGAUACUGCCAGUGACAAACUGGAGGAAGGCGGGGACGACGUCAAGUCAUCAUGGCCCUUACGGCCAGGGCUACACACGUGCUACAAUGGUCGGUACAAAGGGUUGCUACCUCGCGAGAGGAUGCUAAUCUCAAAAAGCCGAUCGUAGUCCGGAUCGCAGUCUGCAACUCGACUGCGUGAAGUCGGAAUCGCUAGUAAUCGCGGAUCAGAAUGCCGCGGUGAAUACGUUCCCGGGCCUUGUACACACCGCCCGUCACACCAUGGGAGUUUGUUGCACCAGAAGUAGGUAGUCUAACCGCAAGGAGGACGCUUACCACGGUGUGGCCGAUGACUGGGGUGAAGUCGUAACAAGGUAGGCGUAGAUGA